GAUGAACGCUGGCGGCGUGCCUAAUACAUGCAAGUCGAGCGAACGGACGAGAAGCUUGCUUCUCUGAUGUUAGCGGCGGACGGGUGAGUAACACGUGGAUAACCUACCUAUAAGACUGGGAUAACUUCGGGAAACCGGAGCUAAUACCGGAUAAUAUUUUGCACCGCAUGUUCAAAAGUGAAAUAUGGUCUUGCUGUCACUUAUAGAUGGAUCCGCGCUGCAUUAGCUAGUUGGUAAGGUAACGGCUUACCAAGGCAACGAUGCAUAGCCGACCUGAGAGGGUGAUCGCCGACACUGGAGGUGAGACACGGUCCAGACUACUACGGGAGGCAGCAGUAGGGAAUCUUCCGCAAUAGGCGAAAGCCUGACGGAGCAACGCCGCGUGAGAGAUGAAGGUCUUCGGAUCGUAAAACUCGGUUAUUAGGGAAGAACAUAUGUGGAAGUAACUGUGCACAUCUUGACGGUACCUAAUCAGAAAGCCACGGCUAACUACGUG
rnacentral:rRNA from 1 species